UACAGAGGGGGCAAGCGUUGUUCGGAAUUACUGGGCGUAAAGGGCGCGUAGGCGGCGGGGUAAGUCUGGUGUGAAAUCUAGGAGCUCAACUCCUAAACUGCACUGGAUACUGCUCUGCUGGAGGACUGGAGAGGAGACUGGAAUUCACGGUGUAGCAGUGAAAUGCGUAGAUAUCGUGAGGAAGACCAGUGGCGAAGGCGGGUCUCUGGACAGUUCCUGACGCUGAGGCGCGAAGGCCAGGGGAGCAAACGGG
rnacentral:rRNA from 1 species